rnacentral:rRNA from 1 species
AGAUUGAACGCUGGCGGCAGGCCUAACACAUGCAAGUCGAGCGGCAGCACGGGUACUUGUACCUGGUGGCGAGCGGCGGACGGGUGAGUAAUGCCUAGGAAUCUGCCUGGUAGUGGGGGAUAACGCUCGGAAACGGACGCUAAUACCGCACACGUCCUACGGGAGAAAGCAGGGGACCUUCGGGCCUUGCGCUAUCAGAUGAGCCUAGGUCGGAUUAGCUAGUUGGUGAGGUAAUGGCUCACCAAGGCGACGAUCCGUAACUGGUCUGAGAGGAUGAUCAGUCACACUGGAACUGAGACACGGUCCAGACUCCUA